CCCUCACGCAAACAGGUAACAACACAACUACACUGGUCCAACCCUCACGCAAACAGGUAACAACACAACUACACUGGUCCAACCCUCACGCAAACAGGUAACAACACAACUACACUGGCCCAACCCUCACGCAAACAGGUAACAACACAACUACACUGGUCUAACCCUCACGCAAACAGGUAACAACACAACUACACUGGUCUAACCCUCACGCAAACAGGUAACAACACAACUACACUGGUCUAACCCUCACGCAACCAGGUAACAACACAACUACACUGGUCUAACCCUCACGCAACCAGGUAACAACACAACUACACUGGUCUAACCCUCACGCAACCAGGUAACAACACAACUACACUGGUCUAACCCUCACGCAAACAGGUAACAACACAACUACACUGGUCUAACCCUCACGCAAACAGGUAACAACACAACUACACUGGUCUAACCCUCACGCAAACAGGUAACAACACAACUACACUGGUCUAACCCUCACGCAAACAGGUAACAACACAACUACACUGGUCUAACCCUCACGCAAACAGGUAACAACACAACUACACUGGCCCAACCCUCACGCAAACAGGUAACAACACAACUACACUGGUCUAACCCUCACGCAAACAGGUAACAACACAACUACACUGGUCCAACCCUCACGCAAACAGGUAACAACACAACUACACUGGUCCAACCCUCACGCAAACAGGUAACAACACAACUACACUGGCCCAACCCUCACGCAAACAGGUAACAACACAACUACACUGGUCUAACCCUCACGCAAACAGGUAACAACACAACUACACUGGUCUAACCCUCACGCAAACAGGUAACAACACAACUACACUGGUCUAACCCUCACGCAAACAGGUAACAACACAACUACACUGGUCUAACCCUCACGCAAACAGGUAACAACACAACUACACUGGUCUAACCCUCACGCAACCAGGUAACAACACAACUACACUGGUCUAACCCUCACGCAAACAGGUAUCAACACAACUACACUGGUCUAACCCUCACGCAAACAGGUAACAACACAACUACACUGGUCUAACCCUCACGCAAACAGGUAACAACACAACUACACUGGUCUAACCCUCACGCAACCAGGUAACAACACAACUACACUGGUCUAACCCUCACGCAACCAGGUAACAACACAACUACACUGGUCUAACCCUCACGCAAACAGGUAACAACACAACUACACUGGUCUAACCCUCACGCAACCAGGUAACAACACAACUACACUGGUCCAACCCUCAUUCAGAUUAGAGGUCGACCUACGGCAUGGCCGAUUAAUUAGCUCCGAUUUCAAGUUUUCAUAACAAUCGGUAAUCUGCAUUUUUGGACGCCGAUUCUGGCCGAUUUCAUUGCAAUGGGGCGGCAGGGUAGCCUAGUGGUUAGAGAGUUGGACUCGUAACCGGAAGGUUGCAAGUUCAAAUCCCUGAGCUGACAAGGUACAAAUCUGUCGUUCUGCCUCUGAACAGGCAGUUAACACACUGUUCCCUGGUAGGCCGUCAUUGAAAAUAAGCCACCCAUUAGAUAAAAUACGGAACGGUUUAGUAUUUCACUGAAAUAAUAAACGUUUUGUUUUCAAAAUGAUCGUUUCUGGAUUUGACCAUAUUAAUGACCUAAGGCUCGUAUUUCUGUGUUUAUUAUGUUAUGAUUUGAUAUUUGAUAGAGCAGUCUGACUGAGCAGUGGUAGGCAGCAGCAGGCUCGUAAGUAUUCAUUCAAACUUUACUGCGUUUGCCAGCAGCUCUUCGCAAUGCUUGCUGCACAGCGCUGUUUAUGACUUCAAGCCUAUCAACUCCAGAGAUUAGGCUGGCAAUACUAUAGUACCUAUAAGAACAUCCAAUAGUCAAAGGUAUAUGAAAUACAAAUGGUAUAGAGAGAAAUAGUCCUAUAAUAACUACAACCUAAAACUUCUUACCUGGGUGUAUUGAAGACUCGUGUUAAAAGGAACCACCAGCUUUCAUAUGUUCUCAUGUUCAGUAUCGGUGUUGGAAAAUCAUAAUCGGUCAACCUCUAAUUCAGAUAAAUCAACUCGCUGAAUAAUCAGGGUCGGAACUAAAGACUGCACAGCCGAGACCAGGACCAUUCAUCUAGUAUCAGGAAGAUGUUACAGCCUUCCUCCCUCCCUCU